UUUUAAAAUAAAUAAGCAAAAAUAGCUUUGUCCCGGUACAUGGCCCGAUUUGGGCCAAGGCUUGGCCCAUGGGCCAACCCGACCCUCAGCACGACACAGACCCACGCGGGCAUGGGUCAUGGGCCGUGUCAGGCCGACCCCCAAAAUUUUCACUGGAGAAGGUAGCACAGCCCAUAACAACCCAUGGGCCAACACAACACAACCCGCACUGCAGACCACGAGAAACAAGAAGUAUGAAGAAUUCAAUUGGAUGACUUUUUAUAGAAGGGGUAGAUGAUCACUUCAUCGUUGAGAUAAUUAAAGUUCUUGGUUAAAAUGUCCUUCAAUCCACAUAAAACUUAUAACAUCAGAAAUCUAAUCGAAUAUUUGAUUUAUAAAUCUAAUUGAAAUGCCCAUGUAUGUGCAUCGGGAGAUAACUGGCAAAUUUUGUUGGAAUCAUAUCGCCAUCCAUCAUGGUAGAGAAAAAGGGAGUGAUGGGACUCCCGGUGUUAAAAUUAGAACUAAUUUUUUAUUUAAUAGUGACUCCAUAAUAAGGCAAUCUCGAUAAGUUGGAGAGGAGAGAGGGAAGGUGUUAGACACCCUCUCUCUCAUUGAUGCAAAUGACAUUCCCCAAAAGUGUGGUAGACCUUUCGAUAAAUGCAAUAACUCAUUGCCUAUGGAUAUGAACUGUCUUAGAGAUGUUCUGGACUAUGGUGAGCUAAACUUUAAAUGUGCAAGAACUCACUUUCGGUGAGCAUGAACCAAAUCUGAGAGCCUCUUCGACUCUAGUAAAUUUUCUAAAUAUACAAGAACUCACUUUUGGUGAGUAUGAACCAAGUUCGAGAGCCUCUUCGAACUCUAGUAAACUUUCUAAAUGUGCAAGAAUAAGUACAUUUAAUGUGCAAUCAUUAAAAUUUUCUCAUAUUGUAAAUCCUUUUUAUUUUCUAUAUAUAUAUAUAUAUAUUGAGAAGUCUAGCACCAGAUUCAGUAGUGACACAUGUUUUGCACUAUUUGGUUUUCUAUUUUCUAUAUGAUGAUGCGCAUUUUGGUAAUUCCUAGUUGAAAGGUGGCUCGGACGCUUAGCUGAACAGUUCCUAGUUGGAAGGUGGCUUGGAUGCCUAACUGAACAAUUUCUAGCUGGAAGGUGGCUCGGACGCUUAGCUGAACAGUUCCUAGUUGGAAGGUGGCUUGGAUGCCUAACUGAACAAUUUCUAGCUGGAAGGUGGCUCGGACGCUUAGCUGAACAGUUCCUAACUGGAAGAUGGCUCGGAUGUCUAAUUGAAUAAUGACGUGAUAUAUAAUUUAUUGGGGCGACCUGCAAAGAAACAAUGUCAAAGUGCCUGGGUUUCUUUAUCCAGGGUGGGCACUCCGAUGCUUAAGUCAACGAGUUAGAGAUUUUUUAGAGAGCUAAAAGCAAGAGAGAUAUAGAGCUAUGAGAGCUAAAUUGCGCAUUCCUUCUGAGAUUGGAGGUAAGGCCCUUAUAUAGGCAUUGUUUGGCGUGGGCUUCAUGCAUCGCGUCCUAGAUCUCCGGGAAGACGUGCCUAAUCAGUCCGAAGUCCUCAGAGGUAGUCAUGCACGUAGACCAGUCUUUGCGCCUUAUUUAGUUUCCUCCAGAACAUUUGGUGUGGGAGCCAACAUCCGAGAGACCUGAGAGUGAUGGGAUGCAUGCAGAAUUGGUCGGCAAGCACGUCUCAUAUGUUGCCACUUGGACCUCAAUUAGGUUGCCAAUCCCUCAAGGAAGGUCACUCCUUACAUCAAGGUCACUUCGGCCCUAGACAAGGUGUUGCUAGCGCCCUGAGUUGUUGACGAGGUUGCCAGCUAGGUUUCUACCAAGUCAGCGGAGGUAGGUCGCCAGGUCGCGGAGGCAGGUUGCUAGGUCGGUGGAGGCAGGUCGUCAGGUCAGUGGCGGAGGCAGGUCGCCAGGUCGACAGAGGUAGGUUGCCAGGUUGGCGGCGGUAGGUCAUCAGGUCGGAAGAGGCAGGUCACCAGGUCGGUGGAGGCAAGUCGACAACGAAGGCAGGUUGCCAGGUCGGCAGAGGUAGGUCGCCAACUGAGAUUCCAUCAUUUUGGCUAAGGAAAAUCAUCGCCUAGGUGGUGUCGGGAUGUCAUCCAACUAUUCUGAAAUACCAUGUGUGAUGAUGUCAAUGAAAGGCCAAAUCUGCCCUCAUCAGUAUAGACACUAAGUUGAAUUCAGAGAAGAAAAUAGAGAAGAGACAAGCACACUGCAGAACCAAAUAAGGAUUCAGGCUUCCUUGUUCAUCACCCAGAAUUCAGACUGGAAUCCAAUAAAUGGGGCGUUACUGGGAUUCCCCUUCUUCACGCCUUUUUUUGGAACCUGCCACUACUCGAGAAUGUCUAGAGGGACCUAGGUUAGAUUGGCUGUGAACAGGGAAAGGCCUGAAGACUGAACCAGAGAAUGCAAGGGGAUGCAACUAAAUAAUGAUCUAAAGUUCGAACUAGAGAAUACAAGGGAUGAAUUGCAGUUCAGUCUGACCUCCUUCAGGCCAAAAUCCGAUGAAUGGGGUGGUAAUGGGGGUUCCCCCUUCACAUCUUUCUCGUAAUCAGUUCCUACAUUAGAGGGGAAAUGGAUAGCAUUGCCUGCAGGAGCCCCCUCUUAUUCUCCGUUCAGAACUUCCACCAAAAAAACUAAAAAAAAAA